rnacentral:rRNA from 1 species
UACGGGGGGGGGCAAGCGUUGUUCGGAAUUACUGGGCGUAAAGGGCUCGUAGGCGGCCAACUAAGUCAGACGUGAAAUCCCUCGGCUUAACCGGGGAACUGCGUCUGAUACUGGAUGGCUAGAGAUUGGGAGAGGGAUGCGGAAUUCCAGGUGUAGCGGUGAAAUGCGUAGAUAUCUGGAGGAACACCGGUGGCGAAGGCGGGUCUCUGGGCCGAUACUGACGCUGAGGAGCGAAAGCAUGGGUAGCGAACAGG